GACGAACGCUGGCGGCGUGCCUAACACAUGCAAGUCGAGCGAAUGAAGUUCCUUCGGGAAUGGAUUUAACGGCGGACGGGUGAGUAACACGUUGGCAACCUGCCUCAUAGAGGGGAAUAGCCUUCCGAAAGGGAGAUUAAUACCGCAUAAGAUUGUAGUACCGCAUGAUACAGCAAUAAAAGGAGCAAUCCGAUAUGAGAUGGGCCCGCGGCGCAUUAGCUAGUUGGUGAGGUAACGGCUCACCAAGGCGACGAUGCGUAGCCGACCUGAGAGGGUGAUCGGCCACAUUGGGACUGCGACACGGCCCAGACUCCUACGGGAGGCAGCAGUGGGGAAUAUUGCACAAUGGGGGAAACCCUGAUGCAGCAACGCCGCGUGAGUGAUGACGGCCUUCGGGUUGUAAAGCUCUGUCUUCAGGGACGAUAAUGACGGUACCUGAGGAGGAAGCCACGGCUAACUACGUGCCAGCCGCCGCGGUAACAC
rnacentral:rRNA from 1 species